UGUUACCUCAGUUGAAUAGGGUUGGAAAGUCCCUUACUGAAAAGGUUUGAGAGAUACGGUUCACCCUCAUACCGAACAGGAUAUCGAGACGAUGGAAUAUUUGGCGCUAAUUACCAAGCAGGGUAUAAGGAUGCCCAGUUAAUUGUUUGAAUUAGAUAUUGGGUUCACAAGAAGGAGGACAUCACUACAGACCCCCAAAGGUACUAGUAAGCAGGUAAGAAAGGAAAGUUAUCAUCUCUUAUUCUCUUAUGCAUAAAAUAAAAAGUGGUAUAAAUAUGAGUAUUCAUAGGUUGUUUUUGGAAAAUUCGUUAUGGUAAGUUCGGAAUAAAUGAUUUUUCUUUACAGUGAAUGAAUUUACUCAAAUUAAGGGCUCCAUUAGUUUACCAAAUCUUCAGUUUUUCGUAUAUGUUAAUAGUGUAAUAUUCUUACUGGGAUAGUAU
rnacentral:lncRNA from 1 species